AAGUCGUAACAAGGUUUCCGUAGGUGAACCUGCGGAAGGAUCAUUAACACGUAUCCAAACGUUAAAACCCCCCCCGUGAACAUUCAUCCUGCUCUUGUAACCCGCGAAGCUUGCAAUCUCUGGUAAAUCAUAGCCCGGAAAGUAGUUUUGAUUCAGAGACCUCUGGCCCGUGCGAACAUUGGAACAGUUACAAUUUUGAGCGGUAGUUCUAUAGGCCUUGUUUCCCCAAGCAGUCAGUGUCUGAAAGUGUCAUUGAUUGUGCAAGGAUAACGCUUCACGAUUCUUGUAGACCGCAUCUCGCGGGCAGGAGCGGAUAUCUUGGUUCUC
rnacentral:misc_RNA from 1 species